UACGAAGGGGCUAGCGUUGCUCGGAAUCACUGGGCGUAAAGCGCACGUAGGCGGCUUCUUAAGUCAGGGGUGAAAUCCUGGAGCUCAACUCCAGAACUGCCUUUGAUACUGAGAGCUUGAGUCCGGGAGAGGUGAGUGGAACUGCGAGUGUAGAGGUGAAAUUCGUAGAUAUUCGCAAGAACACCAGUGGCGAAGGCGGCUCACUGGCCCGGUACUGACGCUGAGGUGCGAAAGCG
rnacentral:rRNA from 1 species